GGCGGCAGGCCUAACACAUGCAAGUCGAGCGGUAGAGAGAAGCUUGCUUCUCUUGAGAGCGGCGGACGGGUGAGUAAUGCCUAGGAAUCUGCCUGGUAGUGGGGGAUAACGUUCGGAAACGGACGCUAAUACCGCAUACGUCCUACGGGAGAAAGCAGGGGACCUUCGGGCCCUGCGCUAUCAGAUGAGCCUAGGUCGGAUUAGCUAGUUGGUGAGGUAAUGGCUCACCAAGGCGACGAUCCGUAACUGGUCUGAGAGGAUGAUCAGUCACACUGGAACUGAGACACGGUCCAGACUCCUACGGGAGGCAGCAGUGGGGAAUAUUGGACAAUGGGCGAAAGCCUGAUCCAGCCAUGCCGCGUGUGUGAAGAAGGUCUUCGGAUUGUAAAGCACUUUAAGUUGGGAGGAAGGGUUGUAGAUUAAUACUCUGCAAUUUUGACGUUACCGACAGAAUAAGCACCGGCUAACUCUGUGCCAGCAGCCGCGGUAAUACAGAGGGUGCAAGCGUUAAUCGGAAUUACUGGGCGUAAAGCGCGCGUAGGUGGUUUGUUAAGUUGGAUGUGAAAUCCCCGGGCUCAACCUGGGAACUGCAUUCAAAACUGACUGACUAGAGUAUGGUAGAGGGUGGUGGAAUUUCCUGUGUAGCGGCGAAAUGCGUAGAUAUAGGAAGGAACACCAGUGGCGAAGGCGACCACCUGGACUAAUACUGACACUGAGGUGCGAAAGCG
rnacentral:rRNA from 1 species